rnacentral:miRNA from 1 species
CGCAACUUUGUCUAGAUACGC